rnacentral:lncRNA from 1 species
GCGAGAGUAGAGGGAGGGAGCUGAAGGAGAUGCUGUGAUAGGCCAGGGUAUCAGGGCAUGCAGGUGGCAUGGGCCAAGGGCAAGGCUUGGCUUUCCUUGGAGAGGAAAGGAAGUCACUGUUAGAUGAGCAGAGCCGGACACUUCCCUGGAUGAUGGAGAUAUCAUCAUUAUAAUUCUUACUAAAGCCUGAUAUAAACAAGUGAACA